UACUAAAGAAUUCACACAUUAGCAAAUUGAUCAUGUUUAGUCUCUCUCAUGGUUAAGGGUUUACAAGAUAAUUUGUUGACUCCUUACAAACAGAGAGAAAGGGUGUGUCAGGGUAAGUCAAGACUCUUUCUGUUCGGAUUCGCAUGUAAUAAUUUCUCCGUCUAUAUGUGCCUACUCUCUUAUUAUAAUAUUUAAAAUUAAAUCAAGUAGUUUAAAAUAUGAUGAGUCGAGUGCUAAUCAAAAUGUAUUACAUCAGCAGUAUCGAGUCGAGUGCUAAUCAGAAGGUAAUGUGAUGCAUUUUGAUUAGUCUCCGAAUUACGUAUGCACAGAAUAAUUUUAGAUUGAUUAGGCCAAAUGUUUCGAUCAACAAGGUAAGCCUUUUGACCGAAGGAAUAUCAAUGAUUUCUCUUUUGAAGGAGAAGGAAAAAUGGAAUAUCAAUAAUUGCAUUAACGUUGGCAAAUACGAAAGUAUGACAGAGAUUUCCCAGGGGGAAAGUAUGACAGUGAUCAUGCAAGAAACAUUAUAAAUUGCACAAAACAGAAGAGAACAAAAAAAAAAAACUAAGGGAAGGAAUUGUUCUUCCAUGGAGGAAGAGAGCAAUCGUCGUCGUCGCUCCAGCGAGCAGCUCUCAUGGCGGGGUACUCUCUUGACACAGGCCGCGCUCUGCCUUGCCCUUUACGGCGCCUUCAGCAUUGGAACGCCGCAGCAGUCGCGGAAACCUGGGUUAAUGAGCGGAAGAACGAGGAGAAGGGAGUUAAUGGAUUUUUACUUUCUCAGCGUUCGAGGAGGGUUUUGGCCCGCCGAUGAGAAAUCCCAGCUUUUACAACAGAUGAGUAGGACUGCUGUGCUUUAUGAUGCAAAGUUUGUGGUCAACAUUGGGGAUCUUGGACAGGAUGACCCGCUCAUGCAACAUGCCUCUUUAAAUUUCCCCAUGCUGAAGAUCCCCUGGUAUACUACUACGGCUGGUAAUUCUACUUUGGCUUUGUCUGGAAAAUCAAAAAAAUAUUUCUUGAAGAAGAUUAAGAUAGCUUAUGACCAAACACUUGACAUUAUUGGAAUUGAAACUGGACUGUUCCAGGAUUUCACGCGCCUGGAGGAAAUGAAGGAAUCUGAAAGUGCUCAGUUGUAUUGGAUGCAUCAGAUAUUAUCUGUGACAGACAGUAAAUGGCGCAUAGUUGUAGGAUUUCAUCCACUGAUGGUCUGCCAAGAGAAGCAUACGCAGAAUUCAAUAGUGUUUUAUCAGCCAAUUCAUCAAAUAUUUCUGAAUUAUGGAGUGGAUGCCUACUUGAGCCAGCUGGGUUGCGCUGGGCAACAUUAUAACAUUGGAGGCAUAGCUUACUUGGGCAACCCUGGGCCUAUACUCCAAGAGCAAAUUCCUUUCUCAGAAACUGGAGAUUUUAAUAUUGUCAAUGAAAGAUCUGAAGGGUUUCUUCUUCACCGCGUAACUCCCUUAGAGAUAGAAUCCUACUUCAUUAAUUUAGCCGGCAUGGUGGUUUCCAUAUCAAAAAUUCAUCAACAAGGAAGAGGAGUUAUGUGAAAGAUAGCAAAUGGAGGCUUCGGCUGUAUAUUAUUCAACAAUUUAUUUACUGUAACUAUUUAUAUUUAGUUGCCUAUUGCAUAACUUCAUUUGUCCUCAAAUUAAAGGUUCAGUCAAGAAAAUAGGAGUUGAUUAAAGCUUCGUUUGGGACGGCUUUCUUACUACUUAAAGCUGAACGAAGCCUAAGGCUCGAACGAGCCAAAUGGAGGGCGAAGUGAGCCAAAUUAAGUUCAAUUUGGACUCAAUUGCAACAAAUAUGAACCCAGUUGACUCGGGUUGAAAUCCAGAGCAUUUCUCAAGCAA